GAAAGGGUUUUUUGUACUUUUGAAAUGUGGCCUCUAUUACAGUGUAGGCUGUUUUUGGAUCCUGACUACAGCUGAGGAAUUCUUGGGAUGACAAGGGCUGGGUCAAAGAAGGUCCUAGGAACGGGAAUGCUGCUGGAAACUGAACAUCAGCAAGCUUAUGAAACAAGAGAUUGUUACAGUAUAUCUGGAAGAAAGGAGAAAUGUGACUUCAGAUUUCAGCACCACCCAAAACAAGGACAGGAUAAUUGUUAAUAUAACUUAGCCAAUUAUCAAUCCGAA